GAUGAAGAACGUAGCGAAAUGCGAUAAGUAAUGUGAAUUGCAGAAUUCAGUUAAUCAUCGAAUCUUUGAACGCACAUUGCGCCCGCCAGUAUUCUGGCGGGCAUGCCUGUCUGAGCGUCAUUUCAACCCUCAGCCCCCGCUCGCGGGGCGCUGGCGUUGGGGAUCUGCCGUCCUCGCGGCGGCCGGCCCCGAAACACAGUGGCGGUCUCUCGCGGACUCCCCUGCGUAGUAGCACUACCUCGCAGAAGGGACGAGCGGGCUGACCACGCCGUAAAACCCCCCACUUCUCCAGGUUGACCUCAGAUCAGGUAGGAAUACCCGCUGAACUUAAGCAUAUCAAUAAGCGGAGGA
rnacentral:misc_RNA from 1 species